GGGCGUUUAGCUCAGUGGUAGAGCGCCCGCUUUGCAUACCUUAAGCGUCUGCGGGAGGCCCAGGGUUCAAUCCCCUGAUCGUCCA
rfam:Colletotrichum salicis strain CBS 607.94 Scaffold_1800.1, whole genome shotgun sequence.